ACACGACUACAUUAGAUACCCGUGUAGUCCUAGCCGUAAACGAUACUCGCUAGGUGUCGGCCACGGUGCGACCGUUGUCGGUGCCGUAGGGAAGCCGUGAAGCGAGCCACCUGGGAAGUACGGCCGCAAGGCCGAAACUUAAAGGAAUUGGCGGGGAGCACCACAAGAGGUGGAGGCUGCGGUUCAAUUGGACUCAACGCCGGAAAACUCAUCGGGAGCGACAGCAGUAUGAUUGCCAGGUUGAUGACCUUGCUUGACAAGCUG
rnacentral:rRNA from 1 species